rnacentral:misc_RNA from 1 species
UAAGCUGUCUGCAAUAGUUUCUGAAGUCCUGGAUGCCCCUGUGAAGUACAGAGAAGUCUCCAGCAUCAGAUCCAGGAAGAAUCUGGACAUAGAGCUCCCAAGUUACCCAAGAUGGUCACGAACAAACCAACAUUAUAACUGAUUCCAAUUAUUAUUAGCAGGAGAUGGCAGCUGAUUAGACGGAGAAAUGGGUCUUCUGUGAGUGGAAAGAAGCUCAACAAAGGUGAAGGACCACACUUCUAUCAGGAUACAAGGAGAAGGUCUGCCACCUGUGGGUCAGACUAGCUGAAGUCAAGAUAAACCUGAUGCAGAUAUCCAUGGCAGCCAAUUGAAAGAUGAUGGCAACACUAGAGACUCUACUGGUGGGAUUAAGGAGACUGAGGUGAAGCCUCAACCAUUUUUGAGAAUAAUUUCAUUUGAAGUUUGAAAAUGUUUGAAUAUGGAAGUGACAUUGCAGUUCUUCAUGGUGCUUUGAUUUCAACUAGAAAGCAUUAUCUAAGCAUAUCUGGUGUAGAUCAGUUAGGGAAGGAACAUGCUUCCUCUUCUGCAAAAAUGAUAAAAGAAGCUAUUUCUAGAGAGAUCUUGCACCCAAAUGACUACAAAGUUCAAAGCAGAAUGCAUGCAUCUUUGUUUCACUCUGUGAUAUGCUAUGAAGGUCUCAGGAUUGAAGAAAAUCAGCUAUCAUAUUAUGAAUCAAUUGAAAACAUUUUUCCAUUAUUCAGCUGGCCUCUUUAUUUUGAAAUAUUGAAAGCUUGUAGAUGGAAAGACUACUAUUUAGAGUGUUUUAAAGACCUGGAUUUCCCUGUUGGUCUGCUGGUACUUCAGGCAUCCCUUGCAUAUCAAGAGAGCUCAGAAAAUGAUGACAGUUACCUCUUACUGUGUGUUUUGGAAGCAGCUGUGAAUCUCAGGUGUCUUAAUUCUGAUAUUAAGUUAUAUAAAGAAAACCAGCCUCAGGGUCCUACAACACUUUUCUUUUUCUAUAAACAGGAAAUUGAAAACUCCCAGGUUUCUUUUUCUAGGGAUAAUGCACGUACAUUGCAGUCCAAAGAAACACUUGUGCAUUGGAGAUUGCUUUCUGAUAGAGUUUUAAAGCUUAUAGAAUUAGACUUUAAGGGAAGCUUAAAGAGUUGGCAAGAACCAGUUGCUUUCUUUAACAUUUUCAAUGCAGUUUUAACUUGCCUGAAAGCAAUUUGUGACACAUUUAGCUGGAAAAUAACAAAGUUAACAAACCAGUGGGAAAAUAUUAGCAGUUUGAAAUUAACUGCACAUGUUCUGGAAGAAAUUAUCAGUGGAGAGGAAAGUAUUGUAUUGACAAAAGUGAAUCAAACUCUGAAAAACCAGAUUGUGUCCUUUUCUUCUGAGGAGUAUAGUACUGCACUUGGGCUCAAAAAUGUUGAUCUUGACGACUUUGUGUUGUUUUUUAAUUUUUGUAAAAACCUGUUGUCUGAUCCUAUAAUUUGUAAAUGUUUUCUUCAAAAUGCUAAAUUGUGUGUAUCACCUCACUGUGAAGACAAAUGUGAAGAUUAUAAAAUAGUUUCAGAUUUUAAUUGCAUGUAUGUCUUCUGGCACAACACCGAUCAAACUUCUGUAUCUAUAAAAGAACUUUUAUCAAAGCUGGUUGAUCCAGAUGAAAUGACAAAGACUUCAAUCAAAAUGCUGAAAGCAGUAAACUCGUUUUUAUGUAUAUUAAAACAAGGUUUUGUAUCAAAACUUGAAACACAAUGGGAUAACAAGUUGUCACUGAAGGCAACAAACUUGUUGCAGAGAAUUGAAAAGAGAUUGUGUGGAUUCAGAGUGGCCCUUCAGUUUGUUACAUCAAGCUCUAAAGCAUUAAAGCACUCAGGGGUGUUGGAUUGUUUAGAAAAGAACAUUGACUUACUGAAUAAGGUUUCGUACCUUUCCCCAAUGAUGAAAACAAUAGCUGAGGGCAGACUGGUUGACCAAAACAGAUUAACAAAAAUUUUCCUUGUAGCUACUAGUUUUCUAGGCUCAUCAGGUCAAGAAGAAUUACUCACUCAACGAUUGAAAAAUAUGGAGUGUCAGAGCUGAUUAAGACUGAAGAUUUUAUACAGACUUUGACUCUUAUGCUUAAUCAAGCAGUUGAAAUCAACCAUUAUUCUACUGUUUUUGGUCAGCUUUUACCUUUGUGCCUUCAGUGUCCUCGAGAA